UACGGGGGGGGCAAGCGUUGUUCGGAUUUACUGGGCGUAAAGGGCUCGUAGGCGGCCAACUAAGUCGGUUGUGAAAUCCCUCGGCUUAACCGGGGAACUGCGACCGAUACUGGAUGGCUUGAAGUCGGGAGAGGGAUGCGGAAUUCCAGGAGUAGCGGUGAAAUGCGUAGAUAUCUGGAGGAACACCGGUGGCGAAGGCGGCAUCCUGGACCGAUCUUGACGCUGAGGAGCGAAAGCUAGGGGAGCGAACGGGAUUAGAUACCCCGGUA
rnacentral:rRNA from 1 species